rnacentral:rRNA from 1 species
CCGUAGCCCAAGAGAUCGGAAUAACACCUGGAAACAGAUGCUAAUACCGGAUAACAACAGAUGAUGCCUAUCAACUGUUUAAAAGAUGGUUCUGCUAUCACUCUUGGAUGGACCUGCGGUGCAUUAGCUAGUUGGUAGGGUAACGGCCUACCAAGGCGAUGAUGCAUAGCCGAGUUGAGAGACUGAUCGGCCACAUUGGGACUGAGACACGGCCCAAACUCCUACGGGAGGCAGCAGC